UACGAAGGGUGCUAGCGUUGUUCGGAAUUAUUGGGCGUAAAGGGUGCGUAGGCGGUUUGUUAAGCCAGAUGUGAAAUCCCAAGGCUCAACCUUGGAAUUGCAUUUGGUACUGGCAAGCUAGAGAGAGUUAGAGGUUAGUGGAAUUCCUAGUGUAGGGGUGAAAUCCGUAGAUAUUAGGAGGAACAUCGAUUGCGAAGGCAGCUAACUGGGACUCUUCUGACGCUGAGGCACGAAAGCGCGGGUAGCAAACAGG
rnacentral:rRNA from 1 species